AAACAGACAAAGCAAGGAACCAUUGUCUAACCCUAACAAGACAGAGAUAUGUCAACUUUUUUUUGAAAGGUUAACACACACUAAAGGGCAAUGCCAUUAAAGGAGAAGAGGAACUUUGGAAACUGCUGUCUGAAAGGAAAGCAAAGCACUCUUCAUUAACAGCUAGUGGGCUCCUAAUUUCUGCCCAUGAAGGCAUGUUCAUACUGACAGAGCACCCCCUCAAGGGGAAGAACCAUCCGCGCUAAUUCUUGUUGUCCUCUUCUGAGCUAGUGUGCUCAUUGUUCAUACAAACUAGUGUGUCAACAUUAAAACAAAAAGGGAGUUGAAUCAAUAAAUGACUUGGGAGGCUGUCAUACUUGUAACAACUAUGGCGACAGAAGAACACUGGCUGUAGUAUUUGGUAUUAGCAUUGGUGUCUGGAUCUAUAACUAAAAAAGCUUCUUCAUUUCUCCAAACUAAUAGAUAUGACAGAUAUUGCCACACUUAGCUCUACUUAAAUAAAUAUUCUAAACUCAA